rnacentral:rRNA from 1 species
CCUACGGGCGGCAGCAGUGAGGAAUAUUGGUCAAUGGGCGGAAGCCUGAACCAGCCAAGUCGCGUGAGGGAAUAAGGCCCUACGGGUCGUAAACCUCUUUUGCCGGGGAGCAAGGGCGGGGAAGUGUCCCGGCCCGGAGAGUACCCGGAGAAAAAGCAUCGGCUAACUCCGUGCCAGCAGCCGCGGUAAUACGGAGGAGGCGAGCGUUAUCCGGAUUUAUGGGGUUUAAAGGGUUCGUAGGCGGGCUUUUAAGUCAGCGGUAAAAAUUCGGGGCACAACCCCGUCCGGCCGUUGAAACUGGGGGCCUUGAGUGGGCGAGAAGAAGGCGGAAUGCGUGGUGUAGCGGUGAAAUGCAUAGAUAUCACGCAGAACCCCGAUUGCGAAGGCAGCCUUCCGGCGCCCUACUGACGCUGAGGCACGAAAGUGCGGGGAGCGAACAGGAUUAGAUACCCUAGUAGUC